AGGAGUCGGUGCCACACCAGCUGGGAGAAGCACGGGGCUGAAAGCCAGCCUGUGCCAGCCCUGCCUGCCCUGAGCCCCUGCCCGCCAGGCUCUGCCAGGUCACUGCAGACCAGAGAGUCCCCGCCAGUCCCACUGCACAUCCCCCGAGGAGCUUUCUGAAGAAAAAGUCUUUUGGAAAAACAAGGCAAAAAUAACCUGGGAGUUCUCAGUUGUGCUCCAGUGGUAGUCACAGGGACUCUGCAGGAUGGCAGCUCCUGGCCACCCUGCUGUUAUCCCACCACUGCCCCUCACUCAGACUCCCCUGGUUUGUGGCCAUUCUCUAACAGCGACCAAGGCAUGUCUCCAAUAAAACUUUGCUCCUGCUGAUAC